ACGGUAGCACAGAGAGCUUGCUCUCGGGUGACGAGUGGCGGACGGGUGAGUAAUGUCUGGGAAACUGCCCGAUGGAGGGGGAUAACUACUGGAAACGGUAGCUAAUACCGCAUAAUGUCGCAAGACCAAAGAGGGGGACCUUCGGGCCUCUUGCCAUCGGAUGUGCCCAGAUGGGAUUAGCUAGUAGGUGGGGUAACGGCUCACCUAGGCGACGAUCCCUAGCUGGUCUGA
rnacentral:rRNA from 1 species